UUAGACAUAAAUAGAUUAUAUUAUUUACCGGAGUACUACGAAUAAAAUCGUUUAAAACUCAAAGAGCUUGGCGGUGCUUUAGACUUCUCAGGGGAACCUGUCUCGUAAUCGACAGUCCACGUAUCACCUCGCCUUUUUUUGUAUUCAGUAUGUAUACCGUCGUCGGCAGGUAACUUUUAAAAAUAUAGAAGUUAGCAAGAAAACUUUUAGUUUUUACGUCAGAUCAAGGUGCAGCUAAUAAAAAGGAGGAGAUGGGUUACAAUUAAAAUUUAUAAUUACGGAGGUUAUUUUUAACAAUUAACUUGAAGGCGGACUUGAAAGUAUGAAUUAGUAAUUAAAUAUUUUGAAUUUAGCUCUGAAGCG
rnacentral:rRNA from 1 species